rnacentral:lncRNA from 1 species
GUCUCAAUAUAACUAGAGUCCUUACACCUUUCCUAUCUACUGGAUACAGUCUUACUGAACCAAACGGGGGUCAUAGACAAUCAGCGUCAAUAAGACACAAAAAGGCUACUCACCGCAAUGGUUUUGCUGAUCCAUCCAUCCCACUUCUAGACACCAAGCUGAAAGGGUUAAUGUUGUAAUGGACUCUAAUCCCCUCGGUUCUCGAUCCCUCGGUCACCAUAAUCAAUGUUG